AUUCGAGUGGCGAACGGGUGAGUAACACGUGGGUGAUCUGCCCUGCACUCUGGGAUAAGCCUGGGAAACUGGGUCUAAUACCGGAUAGGACCAUGCUUUAGUGUGUGUGGUGGAAAGUUUUUCGGUGUAGGAUGAGCCCGCGGCCUAUCAGCUUGUUGGUGGGGUAAUGGCCUACCAAGGCGGCGACGGGUAGCCGGACUGAGAGGUUGGUCGGCCACAUUGGGACUGAGAUACGGCCCAG
rnacentral:rRNA from 1 species